rnacentral:lncRNA from 1 species
GGAAUUCAGAACACAAAAGACAGAAACAAGCUGAAAAUAAACAUGAGAUUGCAUUGCUCAAAUAUACAAUAACUGGACAGACAGACCAAGUAGCCAAGUGAUGACGUUUAGCAACAAUAAAUGCAACUUCAAUCAGAAAACUCACAUGAUAAUUCGAUGAUAAAGAAAUAAAAGUUCAUCCCAAUGCUACAUAAACCUAAUAACAGUAGUAGCUACUAGUAAUUAAGAAAAACUGUCAUUUCCAUUUCUUGAACUUCAUAAGCUUUCCCCCGUGCUUCCCAAACAUGCCAUGAUGCUUCCAACGCUUUCCAAACUUCCCAUGCUUAAACUUUCCAUGAUGGCCAAAAAAUCCACCGUGAUGGUGGUAUGCACCGUGCGCCAGAUGGUGCACCCCAUAAGCAGCGGCAGCGGCAGCGGCAGCACCCCCGGCUAGAAUUGCCCCCAUACCAGAUCCAUGAUCUGUAAGAAUUGUAUACACCAAGAACUAUUCAAUAUUAAACAAUAAACCAGUAGAAGACUGAUAGGUACCUGAUGUGUAAUGU